GUCUCGGUGGUGUAAGGGAUUGAGCACGGUGCCAGGAAAGCACAAGUACGGGUUCGAGUCCCGCCCGAGACU
rnacentral:tRNA from 1 species